GGUGGUGCUCUGAGGUGUCACCGGGAUGGAGACUGGCCUCAGCCUGCACUCCCCCCAUCGACCUGGGGGCAACACCUCUCCACGAUGAGCCUGGUUUUACCUUUGCACACUGCCUUUGAAAAGAGCCACCUUGACGCCCGUGGGCCUGGCCGUCCGUAACGACACAGACCUCUGACUGUGUUCCAGAUACCAGCCCAGGAGGAGGGGCCGGGUGCCCAGAGACGGUGAGGGGCUGGCCCCGCGCCACCCAGGACGCCCGUGCUGGCCGGCCCUCCCUCCACCUACGUGCUCGCUAACCGCCCACGUGCAAGUGCCGGGUCAGACUCAAGGCCGCGGUCAUCCGUGUCUUCACGGGACACCUCCAGGCCCUCCCUCCUGCAGCACGCAGACAGUAGGCUCACACUUCCACCCCCUUGCGCCGGGAUGGGUCCCAGGACUACUUCCGCCACUGCAUUGUGAGCAAAAGUGCCACGUGUCACUCGUCUCAAUGGAACAUCUCGUUACAGCUCAAACGCUGCGGUCCGUUCAGGAGCAAGGCGGGUGUCUCCUCGCAAAGGACGGGGCCCUCUGAGCACCAGGAAAUCAGGAGGCCAGUCGUGUGACUUCCCAGGAAGCUUAGCUCCAAGGGAAUCUGGCUCUUGGGCAAUGUCACCGUUCCUGGCCUCACAUCUGAAUAAGAACCAACUUUCUGGAGGUAUUAACCCAGGAACAAAUGUCGACCACGUUCACGAAAACCCCAGCGUGUGCCAAGUGCUGUCCGUCCCAACUCACCGACCCCCGAGGGAAGAGCCGGCUGCUUCCGUGACCUCGUGUCCCGGGGGGGGGGGGGGGGGGGGCUCCGCCUUUUCACAAGCGAUGUGCCCACAGGCCAGGGGUGGCGCCCGUCUGCCCGGGUUUCCUCGCCCGCAAGGUGGACGUGGUCACGGGGCCGCCAUCGCUCAGGGGCCGUCCUGAAAACGACACAAGGGGGGAAUGCACAGAAAACUCGGGCUCAGGAGUCCCCACCGGGCAGGAGGUGGGUCGAGCUGUGUCUCAGAGGGACCCCAAGACACAGGAGUCGCUUCUCUCGGCCACAGAGGCCAACUCUGCUCCCCUAAGGGCACGGUGGGCCAGGGCCCCCUCGCCAGGGCGUUGUCCUCAUCCCCCGGCCCAGAGCAACCCCCCAGCCACCGUGCACCCCCCGCCCUGGGAGGGCUGCAGGCUCCGGGCCCACCCAGAGCCACAUCCUCGGACCCGCUGGCCCGCGCUCCGUCACACGGCCACACCCGGCUGCAAGGAGGCGGGGCAAACAGCAUUUAUUUGGGGUGGCCCCUGCCCUUGCUUAGGAUUGGGGUGUGACGACACGGAGGAAGGGCAGGCAGGUGUGGGGACGUACGAGCCGUCCCAGCCCCGCCCCGCCCGGCAAGCACUGUUCUCUCCAUUUCACAGAUGGCACCACUGAGCCGCCUCCGAAGCCUUGGGCGGACGGGGACGUUGUCUUCUCCCACCAGCGCGCGGGAUCUCACCCGACAGGCAGUGCGGUGGGGGGUGGGGGCCGGGUGGGCGUCCCGUGGGGCCUCCGGGGGAGAGACCACCCUGCCAGGCCCGCACGGGGCCUCCUCAGGAAUGUGCACAGGAGGCCCUUCCCACAAGGCCAUUUUUCUCACCGCCUCGGGGGAUUAAGAUAGCAGACGGGGAGCCUCUCCCCUCCUCCACACGCCCGCCUGGCUGGUGAUGCCCAGUCGGGGGGAGGGCCGGGCGGGGGCCGGCUCUGCGCUCUGCUGAGCCCACGCCGGCAGGGCUCCGGGGUGCCGCCUGGGGCCAGGCACGGCGUGGCAUCAUCAGUCUACCACCACCGGCAGCCACGGAGGCCGGCUCCGCGCCUCUCCCCAGCCAGGACUCGAGGGCGCAGAGGCACGGUCACCUUGCCCAGGUGACUCGGUGACUCGGGAGGGCACGGCCACGGCAGCCGGGUCCCGCGGGGGUGUAACCGCAGCUCAGCACGACCUCCGGACAGGUGCUUCGCCCCUGCGUCUGUGACGGCGAAUCCGGCGCUCCCCUCGGACGGAUGCAAAGAGAACGAUGUGGCCACGCGGGGCUCUGGCCGUGCGCUGCCUGCCCUCCCCGGCGGGGCUUCCCCGGCGCAGUCUCCCCAUCCGUCGCCCGGGGGGGACAGUGGCUGCUCCCCUGCUCCUCUCCGUCGGGAGAGGGUGGACAGCAGCUGGCAUCGCCGUCCUGAUUGGUACUUGUCUUUGCGUUUGAAAUGAGACCAAAAGUUGAAAUAACCAAACGCAGGAGAAAAGAGGCAGAGGGGAGGGUGCAGAUCAGAGGGAGCUGGGACGGGCCGUAGACGCCUGGAAAGGGAGCCCAGCCGCCGAGCGGACCAGGCACCUUUGGCGCACCUGCUCGCUGCAGAGGCGAACACAGGCA